rnacentral:rRNA from 1 species
AAACCAACAGGGAUUGCCCUAGUAACGGCGAGUGAAGCGGCAACAGCUCAAAUUUGAAAUCUGGCCCUCGGGUCCGAAUUGUAAUUUGUAGAGGAUGCUUUUGGUUAGGUACCUUCCGAGUUCCCUGGAACGGGACGCCUUAGAGGGUGAGAGCCCCGUACGGUUGGAUACCGAGCCUCUGUAAAGCUCCUUCGACGAGUCGAGUAGUUUGGGAAUGCUGCUCUAAAUGGGAGGUAAAUUUCUUCUAAAGCUAAAUAUUGGCCAGAGACCGAUAGCGCACAAGUAGAGUGAUCGAAAGAUGAAAAGUACUUUGAAAAGAGGGUUAAACAGCACGUGAAAUUGUUGAAAGGGAAGCGUUUAUGACCAGACUUUUUCUAGGCGGAUCAUCCGGUGUUCUCACCGGUGCACUCUGUCUAGUUCAGGCCAGCAUCGGUUUCUAUAGAGGGAUAAAAUCAGCAGGAAUGUGGCUCCUCCGGGAGUGUUAUAGCCUGUUGAAUAAUACCUUUACGGGGACCGAGGUUCGCGCUCUGCAAGGAUGCUGGCGUAAUGGUCAUCAACGAC